AGGCGAGGCGACUCGUUAUUAGUUUCCAGAAAAUCGUGUCGUCAUUAACUUGUUAGUGUUAUUAUGUGAGAUAACCAAGUACUUAACCACAGUACCAGAUAUAAUAGAAACUAUUGUUAAUUCAGUUUUGUUUCUUAUUAAUCAGAGAACAGAAGGAUGAACAAAGCUUACAGACCAAAAUCUAAAAUUGGAAAUUAAUGAUGCACUGCAAUUUCAGGUGAUUUCCGGUUCCGAUUUGUGUAAGAGGAUUUCUUUUGAUUGUCCACUUCACGAAUUGAAUUGACUGAAACAUCAUCCAAGCUCAAUUUAGAUUUUGGAGGCGAUAGCAAAUUAAGAAUUCACCAGGUGGGAAAAUGGUUCAUUCAAAGUUAACAGCAAACACACAUUUGAUUUGUUUUUAAAAAGGAAGUCCAUGCUGUCCUAUAAAAUAUUCUACCUCAGUUUCCUCAAGUCCUUAAGGCUCAUAACAGCCAUAACAGGUAAUAUUUCGCGCUGUUUGGUGUUUCAAACGUGGGACCAUCAAUCAACCUAAGAACAAAGCCCCUGGUUUUUCCUCAAGAAGCUGGUUUUAACCAAUUCGAAAAGGUACUUUGCAAUAAAUAAUAAACCGGAUUUCAAGCCAUAUAUACACCGUUUCUGCAGCUUGCACCUGAUCUGGCAGGCCGUCGGAACUCUAUUAAGUUUAUCUGAGAACCAUCGGUACUUUGCCUAGACAGCGUCCUGGAGAAACUACUACUCCACUGCACCGCCUUCGAAGAAAUUAUGUGGUGUGUACAUUCCCCUUUCGAUAACUAAAGGAUUCGAAGAACUCUCUUCAUUUUCUAGGAUACUUUCUGAGGUAGCGUUCGGUCUUUUUUUGUCUACAUCUGCAAUCUACAUCUUCUCUCAGUGUCUAGAAAAAAAAAUGGUGGAAUUUCGAUUCUAUCAAAGACACUUACACCAUCUAGUGGACAUAGUUUUUAGCCAACGAGUGAUCUAAUGGCAAUACAUUUUAUAGCUGGAAAAAUGAUGUCCAGUUCCAGUAAAAGAAAAGAAACCAUGAAGAUCCCACACAUCACAGAUCAUUUAAAUUUUAGUCAGACCACGUUAAAAAGGAUUGGAAGCUGGUGUCGUCUGCAUCUCCGAGGCCGUAGUACCGUAAUCCGUGUUGAGCUUUUAUCUUAUAGGACGAGACUACGAGAUCUUUAGCCUAACUAGUAACUACGGUACUGAGGAAAAAUUGUAAGUGACGAAAAAUAAUAGGAAAAAUUUCAAAUGAGGAACAAGUCCUUUUCUGAUUGUUAUUCUUGCAACGGCUGAUGCUUCGUAAGUUCUUAACGAAAGGAAAUUUUGGAAAAAUUAUCUCAAAAAAUAAAAAUCACCAUAAAUUCAUACUGGUGCACCAGCCAAUCAUGAAGUCAUUACUGCGCGCCGAGGGCAAUAAUAGUUUUUCGGGAUCCGUGAACAGAUAUAAACUUUUUCGCCAUUUUACAAAGAAUUCAGAAAACGGGGUCAACAUUAAAUAGUAGUGUCAAAAUGAUGAUUGAUCUACAAAUUUGUGUUUAAAAUGUCUGUUGGGAUCAGCUAAUACUUACCUUGUUUUUGACUCUUUUACAUUUGCAAUAACGAACACCGUCUCACUUAGGAAGAAUCCUAAGUUCUUGUCUAAGUUGAAGUCUGCACAUCCAACACAAGAAAUAAGAAUAAAGAAUCAGAUAGACCUCGGAAUAAUAAGGAAAUGAAAAGAGUGUUUAUUACAAAACGAUUAGAAAAAAGACAGCAGAUUACGGUCGCAAAGGAGCCAGCCCCAACUUAGCUCGCAAGGCAUUCGCUUCUGCAAUUUCAGGAUCGAUGGCAGCACUGGAACUGCUACUCUUUUUGCUAUCUUUCUUUUUGUUGUUGUACUUGUCACGAUCUUCGCCUCUUUUGCUUCGAUCUCGUUCUGAUUCACGAUCUUUCCCGCGGUCCUUGCGGUCUCUACGAUCCCUGUCUUGGUCUCUUCUGUAGUCACGCGAACGUUCGACUGAGCGGCUUCGCUGGCGGCGACUUCGAUCCCUUUCUCUUUCACGACUGCGGUCCCUGUCACGCUCACGGCUGCGAUUCCUUUUGUCACGACUUCGACUUCUGUCUCUAUGUCGAUCACGUCUUUCCCUACUUCUCUCUCGUUCACGUUCUUUAUCCCUAUUACGACGAGAACGUUCCCGUUCUCGAUCACUGUCCUGCUUUGAACGCGAUGUAGUAGGAGGGGGCGACAACGAACCUCCUUUCCUUUCACCCUCUUCUUCUUCACUUUCUGAAUCUUCUUCCUCCAAGUCUUCUUCCAAAGCUGAUACUCUCGGCUCAACUUCAUUAGCUUCUUCCAGAAUUUGACGUUUCUGAAAGUAAAAUAAACCGUAUUUAAUCAGUAUUUUUUAGGUUGAAUACUAAUUCACAUUUAUACCUGAAGUCUGGGCAGGAUAACAUCACAAAAACGCUCUUCUCUCAGUAAACUAUCAAUGAAAUCAUCCAUGUAAAGAAGCUCAAAAUCUAAAUAAAACCACAUGUUAAUUUGCA